CCUAUACAUGCAAGUCGAGCGAACAGACGAGGAGCUUGCUCCUUUGACGUUAGCGGCGGACGGGUGAGUAACACGUGGGUAACCUACCUAUAAGACUGGGAUAACUUCGGGAAACCGGAGCUAAUACCGGAUAAUAUUUCGAACCGCAUGGUUCGAUAGUGAAAGAUGGCUUUGCUAUCACUUAUAGAUGGACCUGCGCCGUAUUAGCUAGUUGGUAAGGUAACGGCUUACCAAGGCAACGAUACGUAGCCGACCUGAGAGGGUGAUCGGCCACACUGGAACUGAGACACGGUCCAGACUCCUACGGGAGGCAGCAGUAGGGAAUCUUCCGCAAUGGGCGAAAGCCUGACGGAGCAACGCCGCGUGAGUGAUGAAGGUCUUCGGAUCGUAAAACUCUGUUAUUAGGGAAGAACAAACGUGUAAGUAACUGUGCACGUCUUGACGGUACCUAAUCAGAAAGCCACGGCUAACUACGUGCCAGCAGCGGCCCGGGUAAUAAA
rnacentral:rRNA from 1 species